GUCCACACCGUAACGAUGGAUACUAGGUGUAGGAGAUAUUAAGUCUUCUGUGCCGUCGCAAACGCAGUAAGUAUCCCACCUGGGGAGUACGGCCGCAAGGUUGAACUCAAAGGAAUUGACGGGGCCCGGCACAAGCAGUGGAGUAUGUGGUUUAAUUUCGAAGCAACGCGAAGAACCUUACCAGGGCUUGACAUAUACAGGAAUACUUAAGAGAUUAAGUAGCUCUUCGGAGUCUGUAUACAGGUGGUGCAUGGUUGUCGU
rnacentral:rRNA from 1 species